UCUGAGAGCAUCCAUGUACCCAGCCCUGGCACAGAUCUGUGUGCUGCCUGUCUUGCUGGCUCCCUUCUGCUCUACAGGAGGUGGCCCAGACAUCUGGCAAGGUCUAACAUCUGGCUGCUGUACCCAGCAAGCUGGAGUGGGUGAGGCUGUGAGAGCCAGCAGGAGCCGAGGGGUCACGGAGAGAGGGUGCGUGGGAGUCUCCACCGUGCGCAGCUGUGAGAACCAGGGCACCGGGGCAGGCGGCCUGCUGGUCACUGUGGCGGUCACACUUCCUGGUGCGGCCCCCUGAGCUGCUCCUGUCCCCACCCCGCGCUGCUUCAGGAAAGUGUCCUGGGCGCCAGGAGCGCAAGGAGCCAGCCCGGAAGAGGACAAUGAGACCAGAGGAGAAAGAGUUAACCCAGCCCGGAGGGGGCCGAGCUUUCCCACCCCUCCACAGUCCCCAGGAAAUAAACAAGAAGUCGUCUGUU